GUGAACGCUGGCGGCAGGCCUAACACAUGCAAGUCGAGCGGCAGCGCGGGGGCAACCCUGGCGGCGAGCGGCGGACGGGUGGGGAAUUCGUCGGAAUCUGCCUUUUUGUGGGGGAUAACGUAGGGAAACUUACGCUAAUACCGCAUACGACCUACGGGUGAAAGUGGGGGACCUUCGGGCCUCACGCAGAAAGAUGAGCCGACGACCGAUUAGCUAGUUGGUAGGGUAAAGGCCUACCAAGGCGACGAUCGGUAGCUG
rnacentral:rRNA from 1 species